AUUGAACGCUGGCGGCAGGCUUAACACAUGCAAGUCGAGCGGGGGAAGGUAGCUUGCUACCGGACCUAGCGGCGGACGGGUGAGUAAUGCUUAGGAAUCUGUCUAUUAGUGGGGGACAACAUCUCGAAAGGGAUGCUAAUACCGCAUACGUCCUACGGGAGAAAGCAGGGGAUCUUCGGACCUUGCGCUAAUAGAUGAGCCUAAGUCGGAUUAGCUAGUUGGUGGGGUAAAGGCCUACCAAGGCGACGAUCUGUAGCGGGUCUGAGAGGAUGAUCCGCCACACUGGGACUGAGACACGGCCCAGACUCCUACGGGAGGCAGCAGUGGGGAAUAUUGGACAAUGGGGGGAACCCUGAUCCAGCCAUGCCGCGUGUGUGAAGAAGGCCUUAUGGUUGUAAAGCACUUUAAGCGAGGAGGAGGCUACUUUAGUUAAUACCUAGAGAUAGUGGACGUUACUCGCAGAAUAAGCACCGGCUAACUCUGUGCCAGCCGCCGCUGUAACAC
rnacentral:rRNA from 1 species